CAAGAGCGUAUAUUAAAGUUGUUGCAGUUAAAAGCUCGUAGUUGGAUUUCUGGUACAACGCGCCUGGCCCGCUUACGUGAGUGCCGGUGCGCGUUUGCCAUCCUUCUAGAAAACGUCUCUACUCGGGCAACUGAGCCGGAUUCGCGAUCUAGAUCGUUUACUUUGAAAAAUUAGAGUGUUUAAAGCAGGCUUUUGCUAUGAAUACAUUAGCAUGGAAUAAUAAUCUAGGACUUCGGUGCUAUUUUGUUUGGUUUUCUUGGAACUGAAGUAAUAGAUUGAUAGGGAGUAGUUGGGGGUUGGGCUAGUAUUGUAGCGGCCAGAGGUGGAAAUUACUUGGAUUCGCUCAAGACUAACUUAUGCGAAGCAUUCACCAAGGAUGUCUUCUUUAAUCAAGAACGAAAGUUGGGGGAUCGAAGACGAUCAGAUACCGU
rnacentral:rRNA from 1 species